rnacentral:rRNA from 1 species
AAACUUUUAACAACGGAUCUCUUGGUUCUGGCAUCGAUGAAGAACGCAGCGAAAUGCGAUAAGUAAUGUGAAUUGCAGAAUUCAGUGAAUCAUCGAAUCUUUGAACGCACAUUGCGCCCCCUGGUAUUCCGGGGGGCAUGCCUGUUCGAGCGUCA